rnacentral:rRNA from 1 species
UACGAAGGGGGCUAGCGUUGCUCGGAAUCACUGGGCGUAAAGCGCACGUAGGCGGCUUGUUAAGUCAGGGGUGAAAUCCUGGAGCUCAACUCCAGAACUGCCUUUGAUACUGGCGAGCUUGAGUUCGGGAGAGGUGAGUGGAACUGUGAGUGUAGAGGUGAAAUUCGUAGAUAUUCGCAAGAACACCAGUGGCGAAGGCGGCUCACUGGCCCGAUACUGACGCUGAGGCACGAAAGCGUGGGGAGCAAACAGG